UUUUUUUUUUUUUUUUUUAUGGCCACACCUGUGGAACAUGGAAGUUCCCAGGCCAAAGACUGAAUUCAAACGGCAGCUGCGACCUAGGAACAGCUGCAGUAACGCCAGAUCCUUCAACCCACUGUGCUGGGCCAGGGAUCGAACCACUGGCCACUGCAGUCAGAUUCCUAACCCACGGGGCCACAGUGCUAACUCCAGGAAUAAAGUUCUGACACAUGCUACAGCACAAUGAACUUGAAGACAUUAUGCUAAGUGACACAGCCAAACACAAAAGAAUGACCACUGUGUGGUUUCACUUCUAUGUGGCAACUAAAAUAGGGAAAUUCACAGAGAAAGUAAGAACAGAGGAGACCAGGGGCGGGGCGGAGUAGGAGAAUGGAGAGUCACGAUUUAAUGGAUACAGAGUUCCUUUUCGAAAUGAUGAAAAAUUCUGGAGCUGGACCCUGGUAAAGGCCACACGUUACUAUAAUUGUACUUAAUGCCUUAAAAUGGGUAAAAUGAUCAAUUUUAUGUGAUACACAUUUAACACAAUUAUAAUAAAAAGAGAAACAGGCAACAGGUGCAUCUGCAUGAGGGUUUGACAGUUUCAUUCAACCAUCUCACAACAGGAACACACAAAGCUACCCAGCGACUCAAGAAAGUAAGUCCUUGAGUCAGAGCAUUCCCUUUCCUGGGUAGUCCGAGAUGUAACCUGCUAUCAGUUUUCUUCCUGGCCUCCCAUUUAGCAUGUUUCCAAGAUAGGUAUCUUCCUGAUAAGCAUGCCCUUUACUUGGAUAGUGUUACUAGCUAAAUCCGGCACAUGGUACAGGUGGGCUCUGGAUUUGAGUAUCGACUCUGCCACUAGCCACAUAAACUUCAACAAAUUACUAAGUGUCUCUGAGCCUCAAUCUCUACACUUUUAAAACAGAUACAGUAAUGCCUACUCCAAAGGGUUUGUGAAUGUUGGCUGUCAUCUCCAUUUUAAUGAAUGAACAUAAAUAAGUGACUGACAGGAGGUACUUCGCCACCUCCCUGACUCUGGGUCAUAUUACUGACCACGAUUAAGUCAGGCCAUUCUCUGUCUCCUGACUCCUUUGGUACCCACACAAUCAUCACCACAGCUCUCCCUGGCUUAGAGGCUCGCUAGUAUCUCUAUCAGAAACCUUCUCUGAAAAGCCAGCAUCCCAAAGACCAAAAGCAAAGGCAGACAGAUUUACUUCCUGCUACCUCACCAAACUCUCCUGCAGAAUUCCACCUUCCCGAGGGCAGAGAGUCAAAGGCUUACUUUAUAUCCCACACACUGCCUGGCAGAAAAAGGUCACAUUCUCAGCUUCAUAAACUGAAUUGUCAACAACUCUAAGUUUUCCAUAACAGGGUCUUGCAUAAAUGUCCAAGUAUGUAAGUUCUAUUUUGUUACAAAUAUAGUAAGUGUGGUUCUCUGUCAGGGAUAAGAACCUAAGCAAAAAAUAUAAGGUGUUACAGGGCGCGGGAGUGGCCGUUUCAAAGCCUGCUACACUGUAAGGGGCUUGUAUUAAAAACGCCAGAAAUAAGUCCAGCUUCCCAACAUGAAAACGUUCAAUGAUAUACUUGAUGCACCAGAUAAAAUAUUAUACGAAUCAGGAAAAAAAAUACCCACUUAAUUGUCACUUAAAAAGCGAAACACCAAAUCACCUAAAGAUCAGGAAACAGCGUUGAAUCAAAAGUCACAUAUUCCUCACUUACUUCUGGAGCACCGUGGUCCGACCCCAUCUUUCACCCUGUCUGACCAAACCAAACUCCCUCAACUACACCGGUCAGAAUCACCACCAGCCCACGUUCCUGAAGCAUGCCUAGGUUUGCCACCGAAGUUAGGAGACAGAGCCAUAACUGAACAAAGAAACCGAACACUUAGAGCAGACAGAGGCUAGGAUCAUUAUGUUAUAUAGACUCUCACAUUGUUAACUUAUGGGACCACCGCAGAAGGAAACCAAUUAUGUGAUGGUUCUGUGCUAAGUACUUGAAAAACAACUUUUUGUUAAAUUAUAAUAUACAUUAUACAUAUACAUAUAUAUAUAUAUACCCACACAAUGGAGAUGAAGUCCUGCCACUUAUGACAACACAGAUGGACCCUGAAAGUAGUAUGCUAAGUUUGAAUAAGUCAGAGAAAGACAAGUAGGAUACAAUCUCAAGCAUACGUGGAAUCUAAAAACAAAACCACAAAAAAAAAAAAAAGCGAAAAAAAGAGAACAAACUACAUAAAACAAAACCAAAUUCAAAUUCACAGCCACAGAGGUCAGACCAGUGGCUCGCACAGGGAAGGGGUGGGAAGGUGAGUGAAAUGGGUGAAGCGUGGCAACCGGCUGGGGACGGCAUCCACCUUGCAGUGGAUACAGCUAUUGAGUCACAACGCAGUCCACUUGAAACAUACUGGUAACAAACUAAAGAAAGAAUAAGUAGGAAACUCAACAAACGUUCAUAAUGUGUUUUCCCGACAAAGAGAGAGGUCAUUGCCAGCACUGCAGAAAGGACUCUCGAGCGUCCUCCCAACCGCUACUCCGCCCCGAGGAAGCACUGCCUGGACUGCCACCACUGCAGGUUAGUGUGGCCUGUUCUGAGCUUUACAUAGAACUACAAUUACACCUCAUGUCCCCUUUUGUGUCCACUUCCUUCCACUCAACAUUCUGUGGUGAGAUUUAUCCCUGGCGCCCUACCAGGCACUGUGUUUCAUUGAUUUAAAGCACUCGACAAUUCUGGCAGUUCCCAUUUAGUUUGGGGAAAAACCCCCAAAAAACUAAGGUUCUGAAGUUAAACAAGAUUAAUUAAGGCAUCCAUGGUCACAUGGCUACUAAAUGGAAAGGCAAAAAUUAAAAGACUAAUUUCAAAGCCCAUGCAUUCUUUGGUUCGAUUGUGCUUGCCUACUGUACAGUUUAAAAACAAUAAGAAGUCAAAUCCUUCCCUCGUUUACCUGUCAUUGGCAACAUCACAGAGAGAGAGGUUUGACAGCCAAGUACUACAAAAACGUAAGAAAUUAUUAUUAGCACAAGAAAACAGCUUUCGAGGGCAGUGUCUUUCAAACCUUUUUGAUCACGAGCCACAGACUGAAAUCCAGACUUUUCUACAACACAUGUCCCUGAAAACCUGACAUCUUGGAAAAUUAUGCACUAAACAUGGGUUUGUGGGAAAAACAGAGUUAGUAAUAGACCACUAAAAGCCCACGGAACUCUGACUAUUUUAUAGACACACACACACACCACAUAAUGAUCUCAGUCAUUAAGAAAUGGUUAAGGAGUCCCUUUUGAGGCUCAGUGGUUAACAAACCUGACCAGGACCCAGGAGCUUGCGGGUUCAAUCCCUGGCCUCACUCAGUGGUUAAGGAGCUGGCGUUGCCAUGAGCUGUGGUGGAGGUCACAGAUGCGGCUUGGAUCCUGCGUUACUGGGGCCGUGGUGUACGCUGGCAGCUGUAGCUCCGAUUCGCCCCCUAGUCUGAGAACCUCCACAUGCCCUGCGUGCAGCCCUAAAAAGACAAAAAGACACACACACACACACACACACACACACACACACACACACACACACAAAACGUGCAAUGGAACAAACCUGUAGCAAUCAUGACCACUAAGCUUCUAAGAGGGACUUAUUUCCCCAAGGUCUCCUAGAGUGAAGAUUUGCAUGCAUGCCACCGUCUGCAGACAGGAGCCACUUAAUCCAAGCUUUUCCUAGGGACAAAAUCAAAACCUGAGAUUCAUAUGGCUUUGGGGCCCGACAACAGACCAUCGACCUGUUCACCAUCUCUCGUCUGUCCUCCUGCCCGAGCAGACCUGAGAGAGAUGCCUGUGCUGCGCAGGACCAGAGAUCUCAGGAUCAGCUCGCAGGGCAAGGGCAGCAGGAGGGAGCCCCACCAAGGCAACCAUCUCCUGAGACACAGAGCCCUGAGAACAGAGUAAAUCCUCCCUGCAGGCACUCAUCUCUGAAACAGGCAUUACGCUAAGGGACACCCCAGAUAUAAGAAACAGUAUUUGGAGAUGAGACAGAAAGCUACAGAUAAGGAGUGCCUGUUGUGGCUCGGAGGGUUAAGAACCCAACACAGUGUACGUGAGGAUGAGGGUUCAACCUCUGGCCUCGCUCAGUGGGUUAAGGAGCCAGCGUUGCCGCAACCUGAGGCGUACGUUGCAGAUGUGGCUCGGAUCCCAUGCUGUUGUGGCUGUGGCGUAGGCUGGUAGCUGCAGCUCUGUUUCACCCUCCAGCCCAGGAACUUCCUUAUGCCUCAGGUAUGGCCAUACAAAGAAAAAAAAAGAAUAUUUAAGAAGCCCUCCAAACAGCUAUAGCAGGAGUCAGCAGUCACUCAGCAUUUACUAGGAAGCUUCUUAUGGUAAUUCCUGAGACUAACCCUUCUUUUUUCGUCUUUUUGCCUUUUUCUAGGGCCGCUUCCCUCAGCAUGUGGAGGUUCCCAGGCUAGGGGUCGAAUCAGAGCUACAGCGGCCAGCCUACACCACAGCCACAGCAAUGCAGGAUCCAAGCUGCAUCUGCGACCUGCACCACAGCCCACGGCAACGCUGGAUCCUUAACGCAUUGAGCAGGGCCAGGGAUGGAACCCGCAACCUCAUGUUUCUAGUCGGAUUGCUAACCACUGUGCCACGACGGGAACGCCUCACACUUCUUUAGACAAGUCAGAAAACCUCUGCACAUAACCACAGAAUCUGAAAGAACCAAGAGGCAUGAGGAAAAAGACAAAACACUACGUCCCAGUUUCACGUCAGAGACAAAAGUUUCAAGUUGUUUAGCUUUGUGAGUUAAAAAAAAAUCCUGGAAAUUUAGCUUUUAGGACACAACAUGCCCUUCUCAACUUCUUCACCUUUUGAUCCAGCAAUUCGUUCCUUAAGCAAAAUCUGCUUAAGUUAUGCUUCAGCUUUAGUCUCUGGGGUUCACUAUACCAGGAUUAGUGGUACACGUUAGUUCAGGGAACUCCAGAAAUUUACGUCGUGGAAGUCACUGAGAGGGGCUGAGCCCGAGUGAUACUCUUUAACCUAAAGCAGUGACCCAUAACGUUUCCCCCAGCAGACCUGACGCAUCCAAAACACUCCCAUGAGUGAGAGCAGGCGCAUGAAAGGCACGGAUUUUCAGCAAGAGGGUAGGAGGCAGGAUUCAUGUGACGGGAAGAAAGGCUCCACUGAGCAAAGAUGUUCUGGAAUCUCCACAGAUACCUGCAUAAUUAGAAAAAGCGUCUCCCCCAGUCUAUAUUCCUCUGCCCUUCCCCCUAACCCGAGGCCUAGAGAAGUCUCACCCAACAGAAUGCAAUUCAAGACACUUAAGUCAUCUUAAGAUUUCUAGCAGUCACAUUUUAAAAAGUAAAAGAAAGGAACAGGUGAAAAUUUUAACAAUGCAUUUUGUUUAACCUAAUACAUUGAAAUAUUAUCACUUCAGCCAAUAAUCGAUACAAAAAUCAGAGGAAAUACUUUAUACUCUUAUUAAGUCUUCAGAAUCUGGUGUGUAUUUAUGAUUAUAGCUUAUCUCAAUUCAUACGCUAAAUUUUCAUCAGAAAUCCUUGAUCUGUUUUUCGGUUUCACAAAACUUAAGAGUUGAAAAGUUAUUCAAAACUCACUUUACAAUUUUUCAAUAACUGUAGAGAGGAUGAGUUUUAAAGUUUAACUAAAAUUAAAUAAAACUUAUAACUCAGGAACUCAGUCGCACUAAUAACCAUGUGGCUAUCGCCGGACAAGCCAUAUCCAGAGACCGUGAAUGAUCCAAUUCGACAUCAAGUACGUACCACGUGCCCAGCACUGUUCUAAGCUCUGCACUUGCACCAAGGUGCUCAGUGUCCGCAUCCCUCAGGGGGCUCUGGUAUCAUCUCCAUUUCAUGGGUAAGGAAGAGUCACCGCCGAGAGGUGGCUUACAAUUUACUCGAAGCUACACAGCUAGUAACUGGUGGAGCCGGAUUUCAGAGCCAAGUAAUUUGGCCCAUUUCUUGUUUCUUUCAUGACAGUUGAUUUCUGAGAGAGAACGAGUUAAAACAUUCUCUAAAAAUGAAACAGAAAGAAGCUGUGUCCUUUAGUACCCGUGAGUCGCUCUCAACUCUGAGAGGAUCGUCACAUAAAGGCAAUGAGAAGCUGAAAGGAGCCGAGAGACACAGUCAUGAACAGUCUGCUUUGCAGAAACUUUCCAGAAUACGGUCCCCGCAGCUUGUUAAGGAAAUCCUCGUAACACAAAGGCAAAUGCCAUCUGAUUAAAACUCCUUUAAAAGACAUGCACUGAGACGGCAAAAGACUUUCAAUGCUGGAGCCUCUAGCCAGACACGUAAAGGACUGCAUUUACUCCUAUGCCGCACGCAACAGACCCCUGUCCUGGAGAAAGAGCCCAAGCUCAGAAACAAGAAGCAGGAGUGGAUGGAAAGUACUGAGAUACCUGAGAUUUUAAGGCCUCCGCUGAUACUCCACUCUGCUCACCAGGCAUGAGACGUGCCGUAUUUUUUAAAUUACUUUUUAAAGAUGCUUUAAAAGGAGAAAGAGAUGAGGACUAAAGAACCCACUCGAAGGCUGACACUACAGAAGGUCAAGGGAAAGCGCGCUCGGGAAAAUGCAAGCGGGAUGAGCUACGGUCAGAAAUGACAGUGCGGGAGCACAGACAGUCCCGGGAGAGGCAGGAAGCCAACAAUCUUAGAAACCACGUUCUCCGCCGGUACAGACGGCGGCAAACAGGGCAGAUGUAAGGUAUGUACAAAUAUCUGCACUCCUGGCCUCCAAAUUAGUUAAACACCUCUUUCAGAGACGUCUUGAACAAUCACCGGAGAAAUUUUCACAGAGCUGGGUGGGUAAAGGAACAGGCAAAUCGACAGGAGAUAUCCACAAGAAAUGGCAAAAUUAGGUGGGGGACGUAAGAUUUUCCAUUGCAAAACCCUUUUAAUUUUGUUGCAUGUCUAAAAUUUUUCAUAAGUUAAGAAAAGAACACCUUAAAAUACCCCAAAGAAUCUAAUGUCUCAAGGCCCAACAUGGGCAACAGCGAAAAGGUGGGUCGGCUUAGGCAGAGAUGACAGGAAAGAAAGACCGUUGGUUUUGGUGCUUUUACAUAUAAUCACCAUUUCAUCACAACAAAUCUGAAAGGCAGGAUUAUCUCCAUCACGCACCCCCCCCACACACACCACACACCACACACACCCCUCUGAGGCUCAGAGGGACCUUAACCAAGUUAGAGAUCAGUGAAUAUUAAGCCUGAUCAACCCUGGGGUCAAAAUAUGUAUGUUAGCACAGUUCCCUAGUGGCUUAGUGGGUUAAGGAUCUGGCGUUGUCACUGCUGUGGCUCUGAUGGCUACUGUGGCUCAGGUUUGAUGACUGCUCCAGGAACUUCCACAUGCUGCAGGCACAGCCAAAA
ensembl:lncRNA